UACGAAGGGGGCAAGCGUUGUUCGGAAUUACUGGGCGUAAAGCGCACGUAGGCGGCUUUGCAAGUCGGAUGUGAAAUCCCUCGGCUCAACCAAGGAAGUGCAUCCGAAACUGCAGAGCUUGAGUACCAAAGAGGAUCGCGGAAUUCCCGGUGUAGAGGUGAAAUUCGUAGAUAUCGGGAGGAACACCAGUGGCGAGGGCGGCGAUCUGGGUGGAUACUGACGCUGAGGUGCGAAAGCGUGGGGAGCAAACAGG
rnacentral:rRNA from 1 species